rnacentral:rRNA from 1 species
CCUACGGGCGGCAGCAGUGGGGAAUAUUGGACAAUGGGGGGAACCCUGAUCCAGCCAUGCCGCGUGUGUGAAGAAGGCCCUCGGGUUGUAAAGCACUUUCAGUGAGGAAGAACGCCUGGUGGUUAAUACCCAUCAGGAAAAACAUCACUCACAGAAGAAGCACCGGCUAACUCCGUGCCAGCAGCCGCGGUAAUACGGAGGGUGCGAGCGUUAAUCGGAAUUACUGGGCGUAAAGCGCGCGUAGGUGGCUUGAUAAGCCGGUUGUGAAAGCCCCGGGCUCAACCUGGGAACGGCAUCCGGAACUGUCAAGCUAGAGUGCAGGAGAGGAAGGUAGAAUUCCCGGUGUAGCGGUGAAAUGCGUAGAGAUCGGGAGGAAUACCAGUGGCGAAGGCGGCCUUCUGGACUGACACUGACACUGAGGUGCGAAAGCGUGGGUAGCAAACAGGAUUAGAUACCCUGGUAGUC